rnacentral:rRNA from 1 species
ACGGGAAGGCAGCAGUGUAGGAAUAUUGGACAAUGGACGAAAGUCUGAUCCAGCUAUGCCGCGUGCAGGAUGACGGCCCUAUGGGUUGUAAACUGCUUUUAUACAGGAAGAAAAACUCCGACGUGUCGGAACUUGACGGUACUGUAAGAAUAAGGAUCGGCUAACUCCGUGCCAGCAGCCGCGGUAAUACGGAGGAUCCAAGCGUUAUCCGGAAUCUUUGGGUUUAAAGGGUCCGUAGGCGGUUUUUUAAGUCAGAGGUGAAAUCCUGCAGCUCAACUGUAGAAUUGCCUUUGAUACUGAAAGACUUGAGUUAUUGUGAAGUGGUUAGAAUGU